GUGCAGAGAAAUCUGUUGACCCUAUCCCUUUUCUAUGUAGGAUUUUCUUUGAGGCUGUCAAUACAGUCUUUUCCAGUAGCCCUAAAACUAGUAGUAAGUGUAGAAAUACAUAGCAAAAGUGUUGAAAUUUCCACAUUCCCAUAAUUACUUAGAAUGUGAGAUUCUAAAUACAUAUAUAUAUAAAAUGUGUAUGUUAGAGUAGUGUGGUAUGGUAAUAUAUUGGAAUUGUCAUGUAUUGUCAGUGAAUGUUUGUUGAGUAAAAAGUGUCCUGUGAGUUAUAUUUGGGAAGGGGGAGAUGGAGAUGAGAGAUCUUUUGGGAACUUCAGAGUAUACUGAGUUGUAAAAUAAUGAAUCAGUACCUUGAUACUGCUAAGCCUCCACAAGGCUCUUUAAACCUCCAUUGGUGGGAAAUAUAUUACAUUAAUAACAUAUCACUCCAUCUUACUAGGAAAAAGACAGCUUCUGCCCCACCAAAGUCCCGUGUCUACAGCAGCCCUUUCCUAGUUAUGCCACAGACAUAUUUGAGUGGAAAACUUUCACGGCUGUGUACAUUAUGUCUAAGUAACUAUGUUUGUAGCUUGUAUUUUAGCACACAGACCUGAAGCUGAUAUCUUUAUUUGGCAUUUUGUUUGCAGAUUCAUUUGGCCUUGAGUGCCUCCAGAUCAGUGUUUCCAGCCAGUUAUCUUAUAUUUAUUCAAUGGCUUUGUAGUGCCUCUGGUGAAACGAUGUAAAUACAUUUGUAUUCCUAAAUACAAUAAUACUUCAUCUGUUCUUCUUUACUCUCCAUAGGCAUUAUUAGCCCUAGAAUUGCUGUCCUUUGUUGCUUGGAAGAUCACCCUGGGAAGGCAAUCUCUCCAGAUGAGUGAAAGGCCUUUUUCACCUUCCCCACUCCCUACCAGUUUUUCUGGAUGCUUAAGGGACUCCAGAAUUUCUGCUUCAGUGGAUGACAAAUACCUUUUCAGCACUUGCACAAGGUCCUUAUUUAAAGAAGAAGUACAGUGGACCUCCAUCCUCCUCAGGCUGUUGAUGCCGUUUGUGUCCAUUCGAGUGCUCUGUCUGUCUGGGAUCUGUGUGGUUGGAAUAUCUUAAGGAUAAAUGAAACUGGCAGCAAUCAAAUACUCCCUGAAUACCAAAGCAGAUUGAUCUCUUAACUUGGCCAUCAGAGUUCCUCUAUUUUUAAGAUCAGUAUCUCCAAAAAAAAAUUUAAAAACAUCAUCCCAGUUCAUGCUUUGAAAAAUCUACUUAUCUUGCUACAGCUGUACAAUUUUCCUAACAUAGUAACCAGAUUCUCCUGACUGGAUGUUAUGAUUUAGGAAUGGCACCCACUAAUUCAGUGCUGUCUUCCCCUCACAGGCUCACUCACUACUCUUCCUGCUCUGGUGGAAGAUACAAACGUUGAGAUAAAAACAGUUUACUAGAAACAGCUAUGAGAUAAGCAAAAAUGAAUAAUAACAGCAGCAAUAUUUAGAACAAAAGAGGGUGAUUUACACGGUAAAUGUUCACUGGGUCCAACCUAAAGCAAGAAACUACAGCCAGCAGCCAACUACAACCCUUGGCUUCCUCCACCAUGUUUUUCCCUAUAUGGAAAGCUAUGCCUUGGCUUCUUGGUUUUCUUGGAAACAAGGGAGGUGAAAAGAGAAUCCCUUCUUGCUGGCCCCUGGCAAUGAGGAAAGAUGGUCUUGAAUAACCUCUGAGACAUGCCUACAGCCACGCCCCAGCAGCUACUGCAAAAAUUUAACUGUGUCCUGGCCAAAACAGGACAUGGGACUUGUGUAUAUCUUGUUAAAUUCUUUUGUUAAGCAGUGCCUUCUUGAAUUGCAGCUGACAUGUACAUACUAUAAAUAAGUUUAUAAAGUCUAGGCAGACAAAGGCUUUCAAUCAGUCCAUUUCAUUCUACAAAUUUACCAAAAAAAGGCACUUAAGAAGAAUAAUUCAAUCAUUUCUUUAACAUAUUUGAAUUUAGAUGCAGCUUUCAAACAACACAUGACAAAUUCCUUCACUAAUGUUAGAAUCCCAGGGUUUCUAUUAUUUUCAACUAUAGGAGUUAGAGAUUUAGGUUGAAGUUUUGACUUGACUGUAAUUAAUAUCAGCAUUUCCAGUAAUGGCAAUGGGAAUAGAUUUUUACCCUUAUUCUUACUUUUUUCAGAUUAAAAUGCAUUUUUCCUGUUAUAUUAAGAAAAAAGAACUGGUAUUUAAAAUACUGUAUCCUUGGAAAUUCAUGAGGGAGGAAUAAGUUAAAGCAUAUAUAAAAUUACUGUGGCUCUGCACUUUUUUUCACUUUUAAGUUUAUUGAUUUGAAGUACACAAGGCCAGAAGGUAUCAUUCCAUCAGCUAAUCUGUUGCAUUGUAUAUCACAGGCCAUUACAUUUCAGACAACCUCCACUGAACUUGAUAAUUUGCAUUUGGAUAUGGAUCAUUGGCUAAUACUUGUCUUCCAAGAAAUACAAUCUUCCCUAAAAGACACCAGAAUACAAAGAAUCUAUCACUUUGUUGCUUAUUACCGAGGUUAAUAACAUUAUUAAAAUAUAUUGUGCUUUACUUCCAAUUUCAAUUUUUCUGACUUCAGCAUUGAUUCUUGUUAUGCCUUUCUAUUCUAGGAAAAGAAGCUCUAUUAUAGCUACAUUUUUCCCCAUGAAAAUUGGUAUCUCCCUUGUUUUCUGCUGGUAUUCAGUGUCUUCAUCUGCAGUUAUGAUGAAUGCAUAUCUGCCAAAAUCAGACCAAAAUACUGUUGUACAAAACAGCUUUUCUUCGGUUUUUUCAGCAGACUGUUAGUUCGUAGUCCAUUUUUGAAAAGCUUGUAAAUAUUUUUUAUGUCUUUUAAGUUGUGUUAGCUUGUAAUAAGCCCAUGAUGAGAAAGAUGAAAGACAUACUCCAAUCCCUUCCCCUCUCCUCCCAAAGUUUGACAUAUUAACUCCUCAUUCUCCAAUCCCAGUGUAGUGUUUUGAGCUGUUCUUACAGAAUCCUAUAAGUUUCCCUUACAGAGAGCACAGAAUGAUUUCUAGGUAAGAACAUAACUUGAUUUUGAAAGUGAAUGUGGUAUAUUAUUAAAGUCUCUUGAGACAGUAAUGUUAGCACCUUGAAAUAACCCAUGUAAAUAAUGCAUCAAAGAAGGGAUGUACAAGCUCUUUCAGCAGGUACUUACAUAGAAAUAAACUACUGAGGGUUUUUACCUGGAAAACUGAUUAUAUCGGUUUUAGAGGUGAGAAACUAUGUUCCACAGCAGAACACCUUCAACACUCUACUGUAGAGGACAGAUGUACCAGUCUGAAGCUAAAAAGGCAUCUGUUGUUAUUAACUAUUCCCUCAUAGCAUCUGUUACAAUUUUCUUAAUAUGUUCCAUUUUACAUAAUUUUAUAUUUUUAAUCUCUGUUGAUGCCUAGAUUUUAAACUUUUCCAUAUAUUUGUAGCUUUGUAGAUAUUUUAUAUACUGCUGUACCUUUCCUGACCUUUCUCACAUUUUAGAAUAAUAAGCUAACCCUUUCUAACACUUACUUGAAAUUUUGUUUAGUCUUAUUCCCAAUAAGAGAAUUUCUAACAAAGGCAACUUGUUUUUCACCAGAAUUUGAAAGACACAAGAAGAUAUAAGACAAAGAACCCCUUGAGCCACCUCCAAAGGCUGAUCCAAGGCUGUGUUGCUGGGGCAACUGGUCCCUUUUUGGAUGUACCUGCUCGAUAUACUAAUUCAUUUACCUUAUUAAAAAUACAGAAAUCCUGUAUCAUGUCUGUGCAUAGCCAUAUUUGUACAUCUGAAAGCUUUUAUUAAAGAAUUGCUUUUUGUCUUAUCACCCAAUAUUGUUUCAAAAAUUUUGGGGUUUUGAUUCUAGGCAACACUGUGAAGAUCAGAAAUUGAUGUCAGAAUAAACAAAA